UCAGAGGAUAACCUACAAAAACUAAAGAACUCCAAACCCAAAUACAAAUUAGAGAAAAAUGGUGACACUUACACUAUGACGACAUUCUCUGACAAGUACAACAGAGUCAGCUCCUUCAAGCUCAACGAGGAGUUUGACGAGGCGGUUGUAGACGGACGCAAUGCAAAGACAACCUUCAGUCUUAACGGUAACACCCUUACGCAAGUCCAGAAGUUUAAUGAGGGCACCGUAACUACAAAGAGGGAAUUCUUUAAUGACAAAAUGAUCGUGACAAUUAACAGAACUGGCUGGGAUGGUACAGCGAC